rnacentral:rRNA from 1 species
ACGCUCGACACCUACGGGGGCAGCAGUGGGGGAUAUUGCACAAUGGGGGAAACCCUGAUGCAGCAACGCCGCGUGAAGGAAGAAGGUCUUCGGAUUGUAAACUUCUGUCCUCAGGGAAGAUAAUGACGGUACCUGAGGAGGAAGCUCCGGCUAACUACGUGCUAGCAGCCGCGGUAAUCUGAGCGGGCUGGCAAGGC